UCAGAACGAACGCUGGCGGCACGCCUAACACAUGCAAGUCGAACGAGAUCUUCGGAUCUAGUGGCGGACGGGUUAGUAACGCGUGGGAACGUACCCUUCACUACGGAAUAGUCCCGGGAAACUGGGUUUAAUACCGUAUACGCCCUUCGGGGGAAAGAAUUUCGGUGAGGGAUCGGCCCGCGUUAGAUUAGUUAGUUGGUGGGGUAAUGGCCUACCAAGACUACGAUCUAUAGCUGGUUUGAGAGGAUGAUCAGCAACACUGGGACUGAGACACGGCCCAGACUCCUACGGGAGGCAGCAGUGGGGAAUCUUAGACAAUGGGGGCAACCCUGAUCUAGCGAUGCCGCGUGAGUGAUGAAGGCCUUAGGGUCGUAAAGCUCUUUCGCCUGUGAUGAUAAUGACAGUAGCAGGUAAAGAAACCCCGGCUAACUCCGUGCCAGCAGCCGCGGUAAUACGGAGGGGGUUAGCGUUGUUCGGAAUUACUGGGCGUAAAGCGCACGUAGGCGGAUUAGUCAGUCAGAGGUGAAAUCCCAGGGCUCAACCCUGGAACUGCCUUUGAUACUGCUAGUCUUGAGUUCGAGAGAGGUAAGUGGAAUUCCGAGUGUAGAGGUGAAAUUCGUAGAUAUUCGGAGGAACACCAGUGGCGAAGGCGGCUUACUGGCUCGAUACUGACGCUGAGGUGCGAAAGUGUGGGGAGCAAACAGGAUUAGAUACCCUGGUAGUCCACACCGUAAACGAUGAAUGCCAGUCGUCGGGUAGCAUGCUAUUCGGUGACACACCUAACGGAUUAAGCAUCCG
rnacentral:rRNA from 1 species